rnacentral:lncRNA from 1 species
CCGGUUCCAUCCCCCAUCCAGCUCAGUGGGUUAAAGGAUCUCAUGUGGACAUAGCUGUGGGGUAGGUCACAACUGCAACGCAGAUGUGAUUCCUGCCCUGGGAAUUCCCUACACUGUGGGGUGGCUGGAAAAGGAAAAAAAAAAUUGAAAAGAAUAUAUGGAAUCUCCGUGGCCGAGUUUUGGGGCGCUUUAAAUUUUGUGCACGGCGGGGGCCGCUCACCCCGGUCUUAAUCUGAAUCCCAGUGUCCAUCCUACUUCGUGGAGGCGGGGGUGUGUGGGUGGGUUCGAGGUCCGUCUUACUUCCAUGCCUCACCUUGAUUAAAUGAAACAGUAACUUACAUUCUGUGCUUUUACCCAGCGGAGGUGAGGCUGGUGGUCAGCAGGGAGGCUGGCCGCAGGGGCGGGCGUGUUGACCCCCUUGGGUCUGCUCUCCCCCUGCAGGCUGUAGGCGGACAGAUGCCUGGCCAAACGUGGUCCUUGGCUGUAGUUUUCUGAGAGGGACGGCUGUCUUUCUACUCUGAGUGGAAGAAAAUCCAUUUUGGAGCAACCUCCUUUUUGCGGUCGUAUCUCAUGGGGGCGGGGUGGGGUCCAUGUUUCCUGGGCACUUUGGCGCAGGGCACAGAUUUGGGAACCGCCUCUGUGUCAUCCCGGACCUGCCCCCAUCCCCUGUGGGUCUGCGCAGUCUGGACCAGUCGGUCCCGCGGUGCCGCUCAGGGCUGUCCAGGGCCCCUUCCCGCAGCCACAUGGUUGGCAGGCAACAUGGUCGGAUAUGGAAGUUACACACCACCGUCGGGGAAGGGUCUCUCUCAGGCUUUUAAUUUUUAUUAUUUUGUUUCUUUUUAUGGCUGCAGCUGCGGCACAGGGAAGUUCCCAGGCUAGGGGUCCAUUGGAGCUCCGGCUGCAUGUCUACACCACAGCCACAGCCAUGCGGGAUCGGAGCUAUGUCUGUGAUUUAUACCCCAGCUCCGGGCAACACUACAUCCUUAACCCACGGAGCAAGCCCAGAGAUUGAACCCGCAUCCUCAUGGAUACCAGGCAUGUUCUUGACCUGCUGACCCACAACGGGAACUCCACUCUUAGGCGUUUCUGUUUAAUCAGGAAAACCCAUACACGCUGCUGGUCCAGUUUGACACAUCAGGGAGGAGCUACUAAGCCGUAGCCAGGGGUCUUGUGCUGUCUGUGGACGUGGGAAAUCUCCUUAAACCAUUUCCAGAUCUGAUGGAGGAAAAGGGGCCUCUUUCAGAACGCUCUUGUCUGCGCUGAGAUUCUUUGUGUUCUGGGGGUGGGGGGAGGUCACCAGCUGGGGAGACCUCGGAAAGCUUGGGCUGUGCAGGCGACCUUGCCGUGCUGGGUGUGGGCGUGGUCCAAUGAGCCGGACAGGCAGACGGAGCCCAGGGCACGCGUCCUGUGUUGCAGGAGAUUUCUUUAAAGACCCCCUCCCGGAGGCGGACCUGUACCUGCUGGCCAGGGUCCUGCACGACUGGACGGACGACAAGUGCUCCCGCCUGCUGGCCAGAAUCCACGGCGCCUGCAGGACAGGUAGGGGCCGGGGCUGCCCGGCGGGGGCGGAGGCAGCGUCUCAUGGGACAAGGGUAUGCGUUCAGGUCGCCUGGCUCUCCUUCCCGACCAGUCAUUAACGCCUAAGUGGCGUUAAUGACCGCUCUGUAACUGACCCCAAGCAAAGAUGGAGACCCCUGUGCAUGUGACGGGGCUCGCGUUGCCGCCGUGCUGUGAGGUCCACCCCACCCGAAGCGACAUGAGGACCUGGGCACAGCCUCUGUGUGGUGGGGACUGUAUCCCAGCUGCCCUCUGAGGUCCCUAUGUCUUGCUGGUGCGUGAGGAUGUGGGCAACUUGUCAUAACAGUUGCAUUUAGGGGCUGUAACAAGGACAUCCCACAGCAAGCGUGAGAGUUGGUAACUACUGUAUCUCCAUAUUCAGAUGAGAAAAUUCCAGCCCAAGACCUGUAAGAACCCCUCAAAAUGGGUCAUUCCAGGAGUUCCCGUCGUGGCGCAGUGGUUAACGAAUCCGACUAGGAACCAUGAGGUUGCGUAAGCCAGUGGCUACAGCUCCGAUUCGACCCCUAGCUUGGGAACCUCCAUAUGCCGCGGGAGCGGCCCAAAGAAAUAGCAAAAAGACAAAAAAAAAAAGGGGGGGGGUCAUUCCAGAUACUUCCCAGGACCCAUUUAUGCUAAUAUUCAUGUUUCCGUGUAUUUGAAAUCCCCCUGCACCCUGGUGCCUGUGUGUUUCUUUGCCCAAGGUGGCUCCGCUCUGCAGGAAGCCUCUGAGGCUCUCUUGCUUUUGAGUUUGUCAUCGUACCACAGGCUUCUUAAUUACCUCUCCUGUUUUAUUUAUGUAUUUAUUUAUUGCUUUUUAGGGCCAUACCUGCGGCAUAUGCAGGUUCCCAGGCUUGGGGUCGAAUCGGAGCUCCAGCUGCCACCCUGUACCACAGCCACAGCAACACGGGAUCUGAGCCACAGCUCAUGGCAACGUGGGAUCCUUAACCCACUGAGCGAGGCCAGGGAUCGAACCCGCAUCCUCCUAGAUACCAGUUGGAUUCAUUUCAGCUGAGCCAUGAUGGGAACCCCCUUCUCCUGCUUUAGAAUCGUGCAUUUUCCCCAGACAUUGUGCUUCUGUUGGUGAGGAAGUGUCGUCAGCUGUGGAGGUGCCCGCUGCUGGCGGGGUGGGGGCGCUGCCUCUAGACCCCUUCUGUGUGGAGGUAGGAAAUGCAUUGAAUGAAAAUGCGUUCGUCCCAUAUCCAUCCCUACUGACAUUCCAGCGGGGCGGGGGGGGGGGUCCUGUUUUCUUUCUUUGUUGUUUUAAUUGCUUUUGAAAAAUAAAAGUGUAGUUAAUUUAUAACAUUGUGCCAAACCCCACUGUACAGCAAAGAGACCCAGUCACACACACAUACAUAAAAAGAAUGUGUACACACACACACACACACACAUUCUUGGUCUCACAUCGUCCCCUCCGUUUGCUUGACGCUGUGCACAUGUGUUAUCUUAGACCUGGAGCCUUGGUCCCAAUGUCCUCAAGUUCCUGUGUGUCUGUCCUGCCCUGUACACGAUGGCAUCCCACAGCAGCCAAGCCAAGGUCACGGCCAAGGGCAAGACGGCCAAGGGACACUGUGGCUCUCUGCACAUUUUUCAUUUAGAGCAGCCACGCCCUGGCCUGUCCAAGGCCCCAGGGCCGGCGAUUCUCACGCGAGGCGACAUUGCCCCCGCGAGUCACAGUCUGGCUUGUGGCCUUUGGCUGCUUCCCGUUUCACAGCUUGCCUCUCCUCGUGUCGCUGUCAUUCUGGACCGAGUAAGAUGUUUGCAUAGUUCAAAGCCCACACGCUGCGUAAAAAGGUACCUGAUUAGAAUCUGAUCCCCUCAAGUGUAUUUGUGGCUCUUGCAGGGGAGCUGUUUUUACCGGUGUCUGGUUGACUCUUCCGGUGUCGGGUUUGUGAAAACGAGCAAAUGCGUGUGUACAUAUAUGUGUGUCUGUGUCCGUAUGCGUGUAAUCAUAUGUCUGUGUAUGUGCAUAGUGUAUGUGCAUGGGAAGGUAUACAUAUGUACAUAUUACAGGUAUUAUGUGAACAAGUAUUAUAAUAUAUAUACGCAUACGUGUGUGUGCAAGUGUACAUACGCAUGUAGUAUCUGUGCGUACCUAGGAAUUAACAGUAUCUGUGGAUGCGUGUGCAUAUCUAGACACAUGUAUAUACAUGUAGACAUACAUAGCCGUGUAUAUGCAGGCAUGUCUGUGCAUGUGGGUAUACACGGAUGUAUGGAUAUGUUUGUGUAUGUAUACAUGUAUACGUGUAGUGUAUACAUGUGAAUGCAUGUUUAUAUAUCCUUACGUGUGUGUGUGUAUUCACAUGUAUUAUGGCUAUGUGUGUAUGCGUGUACGUGGGCAAAUAUGUAUGUACAUGUGUGCGUGUGUUUGUGUGCGUGUGUAUGUGCAUGUGGGUGGGUGCAUACAAGCUGCAUGUGUACAGAGGUAGCGUGUGCAUGUGCAUGGACAUGUGUGAAUAUGUAUGCACACACAUGAGGAUAGAGAACGUGCACACUCGUGUACACACAUGCAUACACGUAGAUGGGUAGAUAUGUGCAUUUUUAGGUAUAUGCAUAAGCACGCUCGUAUGUACACACCCACGUGCAGCUCUGUGUAUACCUGUAUUUUAUGUAUAACGCGUGCAUAUGCAUGUACAUGUGGAUAUAUGGAUAUACAGGUAUGUGUGUGUGUACAUGUGCCUACGGGUGUGUGUGUAUGUAUGUAGGAUGAAUGUAUGCAUGUGUGUAUGUAUGUAGUGCAUAUGGACUAUGGGUUGUGUGCAUGUGUGUGUACGUGUUGCAGCACACACGCAUAUAUAUACACACACAUGAACAUGCACUGAAACACCGAAUGUUCCCUGCUCUGUCUGCUGCCUUGCCCGGGGCUUUCUCCGUUGGACGGGGAGGAAGCCCGGUUCUGGGCGCAGAGAGCAUCCUCAGCCUUGCCCUGCUCUCUGCUGCUCUGCGGACAUCCCGGCGUCUGUUCCACUAGCCGCAGGUUGUUGGCAAUGCUGUCGUGUCUGCAUUGCUGCAAAUUAUUCCACAAAAAGCUCGGAUCUUGUUUUGGUCUCUCGGGGACACUCCUAGAAGUGGGGGUCAGGUUCACGGUGUCAGAGGACCCAGGACCCUGUCAACGAAGCCGCUGUACGUUUACAUGGUGCUUUGUUUGAGGAUCAGGUCCUUAAUAAAGUGGGUUGAAACCUGUGAAAAUCCCUCCAUCGGAGUUCCCACUGUGGCUCAGCGGGUUGGAAACCCGACUAGUAUCAUCCAUGAGGAUGCGUUUUUGAUCCCUGGUCUCACUCCGUGGGUUAAGGAGCUGGCGUUGCCGUGAGCUGUGUUUCAGGUCGCAGACGCGGCUGGGAUCGGGCACUGCUGUGGCUGUGGCGUAGGUCCCAGCUGCAACUCCGAUUCAGUUCCUAGCCUGGGAACCUCCAUAUGCCACACGUGCUGCCUGGAAAAGCCAAAAUAAAAUGGAAUCAUCAUCAUCGUGAUUUAAUCGGGAGGCUGGCCUUUGUGCUUUGAGUGGAAAUGGGUUAAAUCUGUUUGUGGAUUUGUUUCUCAGUGGUGAGGGAAGAGCUGGGAAGGAGAGCCGUGGCAUGCUCUCCCAGGUCUGUCAUCCACAUGAUGCUUUCUGGGUGUCGGUGGUUCUUACCCGUCCCGAAUUGGAGAGCUGAAGGCUUUCUCAGUGCGGUUGUGUUUUCCGUCUUUCACGCUGGCUUUGGAAGGGUUGGGGACGUCUUGUCCUCCUAUGAGAGUUUUUAAAAAUCUUCACUGGGGUGGAAUUGACAUACCCGGAUUCUGUUCGUUUUAGGAGACCAGCAAAGUGAGUCAUUGACCCAUAUCCAUCCAUCCAUCUUUUUCAGCUGCUUUUCCCAUAUAGAUUAUUACACAGUACGGGGUAAAGUUUCCUGUGCUGUACAGCAGGUCCCUGCUGUUUAUCUGUUUAUAUAUACUAGUGUGUAUCUGUUAAUCCCAAACUCCUAAUUUAUUCCUCCCCCCACCGACCUUUCCCCUUUGGUAACCACACGUUUGUUUUCAAAGUCUGUGAGUCUCUUUCUGUUUUGUAAAUAACUUCAUUUGUGCCAUAUUUUAGUUUCCACAUACAAGUGGGCUCCUGUGGUAUGUGUCUUUCUCUGUCUGACUUACCUCCCUUAGCAUGAGAAUCUCUAAGUCCAUCCGUGUUGCUGCCCAUGGCGUGGUUUCAUUCUUUUUUAUGGCUGAGUAAUAUUCCAUUGUGUAUAUGCACUUCUUCUUAAUCCAUCCUCUAUUCAUGGACGCUUAGGUUGUUUCCAUGUCUUGGCUGUUGUGAAUAGUGCUGCUGUGAACAUAGGGGCUCAUGUAUAUUUUUGAAUGAGAGUUUGGUCAAGAGAGAUGCCCAGGAGUGGGACUGCUGGAUUUUAUGGUAGGUAGUUUUCUGAGGAACCUCCAUAUCCUUCUCCGUGGUGGCUGCACCAAUUGACAUUCCCACCAACAGUGCUGGAGGGUUCCGUUUCUCGUUCUGAGAGUUUUGAUCCAGCAUCUGCCACGUGUGCAGCCCAUGCUCAAGGCAGUUUAGAGAAUGCCUCUGGUUACUGCCCGUUGUUCUGCAUCUUUGCUCUUUCGAUAGCCCAUUAUUACCUGUAUUUACACCUGUACAAGGACGUGGCAAUGUCAAAUCCAUCAGCGUCAGAAAUACCCGAGCAGGGCAGGUGGUCUGGCAGAGAGAUUGUAGCCACCAGGAGGCUGGCCGGUCGACACCCCCAAGCUCCCUGGGUGCCCCCGGGCUGCUCAGAACAUUCCAGCUUGUGGGAAGAAUGAAGUAUUUUAUAUGCAGCUUGAAAUCUGGAAAUGACCAUCAGACCUCAGUUCCCAGCCCACACCUGGGGGAUUUGUGGAGCCUUGAGUGAGUUUGGCUCAAACAGUCCUUUCUAAGGUCAAGGUAAAGUGGACAGGUGUCUCCCUGUGCUUGAGAGCCAGUGGUCAUUGGCAUGAGGACGGCUGUGGCAGCCACACCCCUCAUGUGGUCAGACCCCACAUGGCCAGGAGGGGUGGGCGUUGUUUGCACACACACGCCCCUGUGUCUUCUCCUGUGGACCUGCCCAGAGACUCAGGGCCUGCCUUGCCCAUUAGAGCUGGAAGGGAGCAGGGACACCAGGGGGGUGUGCCCAGGUCAGGGGCCAUCCUGCCAGAGAGGAUGGAAGAUGCCCAGGGCGUGGACGAGCCAGCGGGGACGGGGGCCUAGAAGGAGGGGCAGCAGGUGCUUGAUCCUGGCCAUCCUCACUCACGCACCUGCCUCCCCGUUCCAGGCGGUGGCAUCCUGGUCAUUGAGAGCCUCCUGGAUGCCGAUGGGCGGGGCCCCCUGACCACACAGCUCUACUCGCUCAACAUGCUCGUGCAGACCGAGGGCCGCGAGCGGACCCCCGCCCAGUACCGCGCACUCCUGGCCCCCGCUGGCUUCCACGACAUCCAGUGCCGCAGAACCGGGGGCACCUACGACGCCAUCCUGGCCAGGAAGUGACCCCCAGCGUCAUCUGAGACCCCUCACGGACUGCCCUCCAGAGGCCGUGUCUGGCACAUUUCCUGGUUUUGUGCCCGGAGAGCGAUGCUGAGCUUCUGCUCCCAGAUGCCGACUGCCUGCCACCGUGAGGGGUGUCUUGUUUUAGUUUUUGAGUUAUUUUCAUUUGAUUGUGUAUCAUUCCAGUCCGAUCUAUUUUAUUUCAUUUCAUUCCUUGCAUGUGAUGAAGUGAGGGGUCUGAGAGGAGGUCCCCCUGGAUGAGGGGCCCUCCCUCCAAGGACAGGGUCCUCCUAAGAGACGCAAGAGGAGACACAGUCACAGAGGAGAAGCCACGGGAAGUUCUGAGAGGAGGUCCUCCUGGAUCGGAGUGGCCCUGGGAACUCCUGCGCCAUUUUUAAGUGUCCAGUCCAGUAGCCUUGAGGACAUUCGUAGUGUUUAGCAGCCACCCCCUAUCCUCCGUCUCCAGAACUUUCUCACCUUCCCAAACUGAAACUCUGUCUCCAUUCAGCACCCACUCCCCCAUCCCCUCCCUCAGCCCCUGGCCCCACCGUCUACUUCCCUACUCUGUGAAGUUGCCUAUUCUAGAUUAAAUUGCAAUCUUU